AUUGAACGCUGGCGGCAGGCCUAACACAUGCAAGUCGAGCGAGUGGCGGACGGGUGAGUAAUGUCUGGGAAACUGCCCGAUAGAGGGGGAUAACUACUGGAAACGGUGGCUAAUACCGCAUACCAUCGGAUGUACCCAUAUGGGAUUAGCUAGUGGGUGGGGUAACGGCUCACCAAGGCGACGAUCCCUAGCUGGUCUGAGAGGAUGAUCAGCCACACUGGAACUGAGACACGGCCCAGACUCCUACGGGAGGCAGCAGUGGGGAAUAUUGCACAAUGGGCGCAAGCCUGAUGCAGCCAUGCCGCGUGUAUGAAGAAGGCCUUAGGGUUGUAAAGUACUUUCAGCGGGGAGGCGUUACCCGCAGAAGAAGCACCGGCUAACUCCGUGCCAGCAGCCGCGGUAAUAC
rnacentral:rRNA from 1 species